ensembl:lncRNA
CACACACACACACACACACACACACACACACACACACACACACACACACACACACACACACACACACACACACAUAUAUAUAUAUAUAUAUAUAUAUAUAUAUAUAUAACAUGGAAUGGAAAGAGAUACAGAUUGUACUGUCAGCUUGCUGAGCAUGAUCUUUUAAAGUCCAUAUGUCAUAGACACUAUGAUUGUAACUACAGAACAUACAAUUUUGCGAUGCUAUUUUUGAAUGUUUGUUGGAUCUGUGGUUUCCGGAAACAGCAAAUUGUUGAACUAUGUUGGGAGCAGUUGAACUUGCAACCAUAUUUGGCUAAUGAUGCUUUUGGGAAACGCACCCGUUACCUUCUAUCUGUCAAUCUGCACAACUGUACAGUUUGCACAAAUACAGAACAGUUUCUGUGGCUGAUUCAGGCUAAACCACAGAAAGCUGCAGUAAUGGGUCGAAAAUUAGUUUUUAAAGGCAGCGUCAUUCCAAACCAUUACACAUCGACCAACAGCUGUUAAAAAAUACCCCACUAAAGAUCAUUAUAGUAAUUGUUAAACCUUUCAGAAUGUUUCUACAACCUUCUACCUCAUAGCAAACACACACAAAACAUCCCACUGGAGUUUCUGCCACUUUCUCUAGAGACCUGGCACUUUUCUAAAUCCCUGCUGCUCCUGAUCUUUCAAAGUUUGAUUAUUAUUAAGAGUUUUCAUAGUUCCUUUUGUAUAUUUAUUCACAAUGAUACUAUGAAUAUAAAAAGUGUGAGAUUUCUUUGGUCAAAACAACUAAUGAUGAUGAUGACAGUGUAUUUAUUGAACUAUACAUCCACAAAUUGCAUGUCGCUCACAAUCUGUUUUAUUUAUACUUGAUUUAAUCUUGAUUUAUAACACUGGUUUAAUGUUCAAAUAGUCAUCAAUAUUAACUCAUUUUUGCAUAUACAGACAGCAUCACUCAAAAUGCAUUUUCUGAACUGAACUUGGACACUCGUAAAAACAGUAUCUAUCUAGAAGUAAGACUAAUGUCAUAAACCUCUGGCGCACAAGGUUUGUCAAAGCUUAACCAAACACAAGGGCAGUGACCUUUUUCCACUUUAUAUAGAGCGCCUCAGAGAAGCUAGUCACAGCGGCAGACACAGAUGGGUCAGCUGGUCUCAUCAUGGAACAUUUAUGGUCUGUAGUGCAGCAGUAAAGAGUUACUUUAAGUAAAACAUUGACUUAACACUAUACAAGGACAAACAUUUAGUUCGGCAUGAAAGAAAAUGCUAGAACUAUUGUGCAGCUUUUCUGUGUAGUUUAAAUUAGAAUGCAAGCCAUUUGUUUUUAUAUCACCCACUGUGGUACAUUAUAUGUAUUUUGUUUAUGUAACUAUGUGAUGCUUAAGAUGUACAAUACUGCAAGAAAUUAAAUAUAACGUUAUGUAAAACCUGUUAGCACGGGGGUGCAUUGGUGUUUCUAGCUCGAGUCCCUCACAUUCAUUCACUGACAGUGGCAUGUGUAUUUCAGUUUUCUAUCCACUACUGGACAUUGUCCAGAGAAAAUCACUGAAAAGUUAUGAAUGAUUUUAUUUUUUACCAUAACAUUAUAGUAAACACCAGUUCUGCAAUUUUUUUUAUAAGUUGUCUUAAACUAAAUAAUAAAGAGUUAUAUAUCCAAAAAGUCGAACAUUUUCUUAAAUCAAAGAUGAAUAAAUCCUGAAAGCAGCAUUUUCAGAGGACUGGUUCAACCAAGAAGUGGUGGUUUUAAUCCAGAUCAGUUAACAUUCUUUUCACAUUCUCAAGUAGCCUGUAAGUAAAAGCAUCCAUUUUUCCAAUUUUUGUGGUGGUUAGAUGUGAUGGUGUGUUUUAUCCACUAAUGAAAUUUAAAGGAAUAGUUCACCCAAAAAUGAAAAUUUGGUCAUCAUUUACUCAUGCUCAUGUCAUUUCAAACAUUUCAAAGACAUUUGUUCAGCAUCAAAACACAAAUGAAGAUAUAUUCAAUGAAAUUUCUGUCCCUCCAAUGGACUAUUUCAGCUAAACUUUUUUCAUAAAAGUAAUGCAUAUGGAUUGAGCAGUUUACUAUAUGUGCUCUGUUUGUUUGUUGAUCAAUGUUUAUACAUGAAUAAAAGCCUAAAUUAAAUCUGUU